rnacentral:rRNA from 1 species
GUAAGCGCACGCAGGCGGUCUGUCAGUCGGAUGUGAAAUCCCCGGGCUCAACCUGGGAACUGCAUUCGAAACUGGCAGGCUGGAGUCUUGUAGAGGGGGGUAGAAUUCCAGGUGUAGCGGUGAAAUGCGUAGAGAUCUGGAGGAAUACCGGUGGCGAAGGCGGCCCCCUGGACAAAGACUGACGCUCAGGUGCGAAAGCGUGGGGAGCAAACAGGAUUAGAUACCCUGGUAGUCCACGCUGUAAACGAUGUCGACUUGGAGGUUGUUCCCUUGAGGAGUGGCUUCCGGAGCUAACGCGUUAAGUCGACCGCCUGGGGAGUACGGCCGCAAGGUUAAAACUCAAAGGAAAUUGACGGA